rnacentral:lncRNA from 1 species
AAACCCAUUAGGAGGUUUUGAGAACUUGGUUUUGAAGAGUAGGGAAGGCAACUCUAGUUUCUGCUAAGGGCUGGGCUUCGAGCCCUUCUCCGCAUUCUGAGCCAAUAGUUCUCAUGACUUAAAUGGUCCUAAAAAUUCCUCCAUUUUUGGAGAAAGCCAAUUAACUCAUCUGUAAACGGGCCACUUUUGAAAUUCCAUCCAUGUCAGAUAAAAAUUUAUUUUAAUAAGAUUCAUUCCCCGGAUUACAAAAUGUAACUUGUUUGUGUAAAGGAUCUGACACUAGAUGCUCACAUCAGGCUCUGAUGUGUUUUGGUGUGUUCUUGCAGGGGGGUUUCUUAUAAAAGGUUAAGUGUAAUUUAAAACUUACAAUUCUGUGUUGUUUUUUACAAAUCAACUCACACACUUAGGGGUAUGUUUCUAUUUCAUAAUCAUUUAGGGCUUUUCUGUGAAAAUAACUGAUUCACCUAAUCAGAAGGACGGCCCUUAAUUCUGGCUGUCUUGAGUUGUUCACACAUGACGUCAAAUGAUAUUCAGCGUAAUGGAUAAAUUAAAUUGGGGCAUAAUUUUUGGUAAUCGCUCUCAAUGCGAAAAAAAAUUGUAAUUGAUUUUCCCAUCUUCCUUGAUCUAGAAGGAAUUGUAUCAAUUUCCAGGACGUCAUAAAACAAAAUAUUUAAAGUAUGUUUCAAAUAAUAAAAAAAGAAAUACUUAACUUAAUAAAGAUGUGGAAUCCAUUUAUGAAGAAAAACACUGGCUGUGGACCAACAGGCCAAAGAGUUUGCCAGAAGUCUGCAGCAGACCGUCAUCCUUGUACGUCCACUCGCUCCCCCGUCACUCCUGAACCCACUCCAUAUUAAGAAAAUGAAUUUUCUCAGCCACACUGGACUUGGAAGUCACUGAUUUUUGUUUACUUUGUUUUUGAGUAAAAAACCAGAAGAUCUUUUUUCAGUUUCCUGCCUUAUAAGGAAAGCAAUCCAAGGCACUUAAACUAUAGUUCUUCAUGCCCUAUUUUAAUGGAAGAAGUUUGGUUGGCAUGUAUAUUUGAUGCUCGGGAACCUUACCUAAAACUUAGGGGUUUUGACUCAUUUGGAGAGCUGUAACAAUUGGAACCACUGGCCAAAAAAGAAAACACUUACCUGUCAUAAGAACAAUUGAGUGCUUCAGCAUUAACCUAGAGCACAAAGUAGAAGUCCUGGAAUGAAUAUUCCCAUUUGGCUUUUGUGCUCUUCAAAAGAAGGAGCUCCAGGCCUCAGAAAGGCAGAAAGAUGUAUGACUAAAGGCAUGUAGGUGAUUACUAUGGUACUCACUUAUGUUGGAUCAAUCCUUUUAACUUCUAGAAAGCUUUCUAGCUAUAUUAUGGUAUUUGUCUUUCUCGUUCUCCAUCCAAAUGGGGUGGACUAUUCCAGAAAAUAAGCACAGAUUUUCCCAGUGGUUAAAAGAAAUCAGAAUAACUUUACCUCUGGUCUUCAAAAGUGAAAAAGCCUCUGCCAUCAGGGAGAUAUGUGUCUAAUGGGAAAGACUGGCGCUAAAUAAAUAAUUGUACCUGUAAAAUAUUGUUAGAAAAGCAUGAAGGAAUAGCACAUGGAGCUGUGUAGUCCUCUCGAUUAGAGGACCUGCAAUUUGGGGGUCAGAGAAAAUUUUAAGAAAGUGAUAUUUAAACCAAGAUCUAAAAGAUACAUAAGAGCUGGUCAACAAAAGAGCCAAUGGCUAAUCUGUCCAGGCAAAGACAGUGGGAUGUGUGAAGGUCCUGGGGUAGGAAAGAGUUUGGCACAUUCUGGGAAAUGAACAAAAGUCAGGAUGGGUGGAACAUAUCAAGUCAGGGUGGAAAGUAGUAAGACAUCUGAGCAGUGGAAUGCUUACAGGAUGAUUUUAUUAAAUCCUGAAUGCUGAGCAAAGCCGUGGGAGAACAUUGAGCAGGUAAAUGUCAUGAUUAGGUCAUUCUGGCUGCAGUGCAGAGACUGGAUUGGAGAAAAGCAAAAAUGGAGAUAGCAACUGGGAAGCACCAAAUGAGACUAGAUGAUGUUUUGGACUGGAAUCUUGGGAGUGAGGAUGAAGCUAAAAGGAUGGAUUCCAGGUCUAUUUGGAAGGUAGAGUGAAUAGAACUUGGUGAAUGAUUGGAAGUGAAGGAUGAGGGAUGUGAAAGUUAAUGCCUAGAUUCCACUAAUUCACAGUUAUCGAAUAUAUUUAAGAAGAUAUAGAAGGUCCCAUUGUGGCUCAGUGGGUUAAGAACCCGACUGGUAUCUAUGAGGAUGUGUGCUGGAUCACUGGCCUCACUCAGUGGGUUAAGGAUCUGGCAUUGCCGCCAGAUGCAGUAGAGGUUGAAGAUGCGGUUUGGAUCUGGUGUGGCUAUGGCACAGGCCGGUGGCUCCAAUUCAGUCCCUAGACUGGGAACAUCCAGAUGCUGCAGGUGCAGCCCUAAAAAGACAGGAAAGAAAGAGAGAGAGAGAGAGAGAGAGAGAGAGAGAAAGAGAGAGGAAGGAAGGAAAGAAAGAAAACAUAGGAUACUUUCUAGGGAGAAGGUUCUAAAGAGGAGACACUGUAUUAGUUAGGGUUCUCCAGAGACAGAGAAUCAAUAGGCAGUAGGCUAGGAAGAUACAUAUGACUUAUUAUUUAAAAAAUUGGCUUAUGCCAUUUAUGGGGGCUGAGACAUGUUCUUCUCCCUGUUAUCUGGAGUCCUAGGAAAGCCAUGAUGUAAAUUUCAGUCUAAAUACCAAACCCCGAACAUUUGGAAGACAGGUGGUUUAAGUUCAAGUCCAGCGGCUGGAGAAGGCUGAUGUCCCCAUCAGGCAGGGGGUGAGGGGUCGGGGCAGGGCCGGGGGGAGACCCUCUCAAACUUCCACCUCCUUUGUUUUUUUCAGGCCCUCAGCAGGUUGAAUGCUGCCUAUUUACCUUGAAGAGGGCAGCUUGCUUUCCUCAGUUCACCCAUUCGAAUGCCACCCUCUGUGGAAACACGUUCACAGACACACCCAGAAAUAAGGUCGAACCCGAUAUUUGCACAUCCCGCAGCCUAGUCACGUUGACACACAAGAGGCCCUGUGGACAGGCCCGUCCAUAAGGCUCCAUGUUAGGGCUUGUUAUCUCAGCUCUUUAGCAGGUAGGGUCAGAUAGUACUUACUCCUCGGUAGUGAAAAUGGUUUUCCUGGCAAGUCACAGGCUUGGAGAACCUUGAUCUUCCUCAGAACAGCCAGUGUAGUCCCAUCCCAAAGGGCCUGAUGGUACCACAGUGAAAAGACAGAACUGCUGCUGAUUUCGGGACCUGCCCAGCCUCUCUCAAAGAAUAUUUUUCUGUUUAAUGAUAAGGACUAACUCAAGUGCCCAGAAGAGUGAAACCUUUAUUUCAUGCUAAUCAGAAGGAUCAUUUUUCAUAUGCAAGAAGAAACGACCCCUCCUUUUAGCCCUCAGGACUUGUGGUUCUGCCCUCCUUGGCUAAGUGGUACUUGCACCCAGGCAUCUUUGGAGGAAAAAGAAUGUCCAAAAAGAGGCUAGGGACAAAGUACCCAUUUGUCUGCAGCUUUGAGGAAGACCCACUCACAACCAGUGGGCUGCUUCCCCAAAAUAACUAGUUCUGGGCUUCUCCAUGGGUCAGGUUAUGCACUCUUGAGCAUAUCUAAUUAGAUAAUUUUGGAGUCAAAGUGUUCUUGAAGAUGAUUGGCUCAGCCGCUUUAUUUUAUUCAUAAAGAAAUGGAAACGCAGAAGUCUUGAGAGCACAGCCUACAAUCGCCAGGCAAACCCACAGCGGAGGAAGGGAAGUGACAUACUUAGUGGCGCCUUCAGAUUCAAAGCCAUACCAUGAAGGGCUCAGUUCCUUCACUGUAUCUUUUGUAUGAGCUUCAGAUUGCCACGUUCUGUUCCGGUGAGCGACUGAUUUUCCAGGGGCCUGAGGAGAAACUAAGCUGUCGUCACACACCCGUGGAGAGAUGUCUGGGGGAAGGCACGUGUCCUAUAAAUGUACCACCAGUCGCUUUCUAUUUCUGUUUCUAGUAGGGACUUACUGUCGAUAGCUAAAAUUGACAUUUACUGUGACCAUAACCCUACCACAAAUUAAAAUCAGACCCCACGUCCCUCUGGGGAAGAUGUUUAUUAAGCUGUAGGAAGACAUCUGAAAUGAUACCAAAUUACAUUUAAACUCGAAACCCCAAAUACCACAUUUGUUUGGGAGCAGGACUAGGACUGUCUGGGGAAUAAUAUGGGAAACUGAGCAAGUCACUCUCUUUGGCAAAAUGCAAGGCCACCAGGGAAGGGAGAAGUGCCUUCGAAGAGAUGCUUUAUACAUAAAGCCCUGUGUGGCUUUUAACUAAUCAUUUAAGCCUAAACAAAAUUUCCUCCGGAAUGAGCUUCAAGGAAAAAUAAGCCCUUUAAAACGUCCAUGCCUUUACAGCACAGACACAGAUGUUCCGAUUGUUUUUAUAAAUAUACUGAGAAGGAGGUUGAAAGAUAUAUCACGGCAAAACUAAUCUAUCAAAAGGCAAACCCGCCUCCAGGGUUGGACCUGGCUGAUACAGACAAAAGUAUGUUUGGGACCAAAAGUCUUCAUAUCACUUUUGCGUUGAGCAUGUAGACGUCUGAGGUCUGUGGGUGCUUGUGUGUAGCGGGUGUGUCUAUAUACAUAGCAUGGUCAUUAUCUCAAUCUCUGAGCCUAACAGAGCCCGACUAAUAUCCAUGAGGAUAUGGGUCUCAUCCCUGGCCUCGCUCAGUGGGUUAAGGAUCCAUCGUUGCUGAGAGCUAUGCGUAGGUCACAGGUGUGGCUUGGAUCCUGUGCUGCUGUGGCUGUGGUGUAGGCUGGCAGCUGUAGCUCCAGUUUGACCCCUAGCCUGGGAACUUCCAUAUGCUGCAGGUGCAGCCCUAAAAAGAAAAAAACAAAGGGAGGGGAUGGAGGGAGGGAGGAAAGGAAGGAAGG